GACGAACGCUGGCGGCAUGCCUAAUACAUGCAAGUCGAGCGAACAGAUGAAGUGCUUGCACUUCUGACGUUAGCGGCGAACGGGUGAGUAACACGUAAGGAAUCUACCUAUAAGCGGGGGAUAACAUUCGGAAACGGGUGCUAGUACCGCAUAAUAUCUUCUUCCGCAUGGAAGAAGAUUGAAAGACGGCUCUGCUGUCACUUAUAGAUGACCUUGCGGUGCAUUAGUUAGUUGGUGGGGUAACGGCCUACCAAGACGAUGAUGCAUAGCCGACCUGAGAGGGUGAUCGGCCACAUUGGGACUGAGACACGGCCCAAACUCCUACGGGAGGCAGCAGUAGGGAAUCUUCCGCAAUGGGCGAAAGCCUGACGGAGCAAUGCCGCGUGAGUGAAGAAGGCCUUCGGGUCGUAAAACUCUGUUAUAAGAGAAGAACAAAUUGUAGAGUAACUGCUACAGUCUUGACGGUAUCCUAUCAGAAAGCCACGGCUAACUACGUGCCAGCAGCCGCCGUAA
rnacentral:rRNA from 1 species